rnacentral:tRNA from 2 species
AAGGAUUUAAGUUAAAAUUAAACUUGCAACCUUCAAAGUUGCCUAUAAAGAAAAUUCUUUAAGCCUUA